rnacentral:tmRNA from 1 species
GGGGAUGUUUUUUUGGAUUCGACGGGUAUAGGUCGAAUUCCGACUGCACUUCGAAGGUUGCGUCUUCGUAAAAACGCUCAGUUUUCAAAUUAUAACUGCAAACAAUAAUUCUAGAGCUUACGCAUACGCUGCCUAACAAGUAAGCGUGCGUAAAUCCGGCCGAGCUAGUCCAUGGCGCGUUACCGGGUUUCAUAUUUAGUGGACUACGUUUUACCCUCCCGUUUGAAGAGUAAAAAAGAGAUCAAUCAAACUAGUCAGUCAUGGUUGCCUUGAUUAGCGGCGUUUUGCCUGAUGAAUCUUAAAUAGUUAAUCUACGAGUGUAGAGGUUGGAAUGGCGAUAUAUUCGGACACGGGUUCGACUCCCGUCAUCUCCAUUU